UUAUCUGUUGUCCGUGAUGUUUGAUUCGUAGAACUGAAUCUCUGUGAUUGCACAAAUUUUCGUCACUACCACUGAGACAGCAGAUGA